rnacentral:rRNA from 1 species
UACGUAGGGUCCGAGCGUUUGUCCGGAAUUAUUGGGCGUAAAGGGCUCGUAGGCGGUUUGUCGCGUCGGGAGUGAAAACCUCGGGCUUAACUCGGGGCUUGCUUUCGAUACGGGCAGACUAGAGGUAUGCAGGGGGAGAACGGAAUUCCUGGUGUAGCGGUGAAAUGACGCAGAUAUCAGGAGGAACACCGGUGGCGAAGGCGGUUCUCUGGGCAUUACCUGACGUGAGGAGCGAAAGUGUGGGGAGCGAACAGG